CCCAGCUGUAGCAACUGCCUAGGUUGCAUUAUACCUAGGCAAGUAUUACACUGUUGUGAGAAAAGCAGUCAAUAGCUGAUGGGAAUUCUGGGCUUGGUUAAUGCCAAAUU
ensembl:snoRNA SNORA74 Small nucleolar RNA SNORA74